rfam:Ceratocystis platani strain CFO contig_00218, whole genome shotgun sequence.
GCUGGCUUGGCCGAGUGGUUAAGGCGAUGGUUUUAAGUCUAAAACGCUUAGAUCACCAUUAUCUCUACGAUGCGCAGGUUCGAACCCUGCAGCCAGCA